AGAUUAGCAGUAUACAUUUGCAGGGAUUUAAACCCUGAAGUCCGUUUCUUUGGCUCCUAGUUAUUAAUUUGCAAAAUAGAACAAUUACAGAUUCUGUACAGAUAAAAACCCAUGAGAAAUUGUCAACUGUUACUUUGCAAACUUGGCCGCUUUGACCCCGAUCUGAUUAAUGGACAGUUUAUUAUUAACUGGCUUCACCAUUUAACCUCAACAUAACUUCUCAGCAUCUACUUUGUGUGUCCAUCUCAAACCAUGAUGUCAUGUUGUAUUAAUAACUGUCUGUAUUGUAUCAUAUCGUGUCAAGAUAACAUUGACAUAACGAGUUAAUAACUAAUCUCACUGCCUGCCAGGAUUUUCCGCCUUCUUUGUUAUCACCAAAACAUUAAUAACGUGAUGUAAGUGUGACUGAAUAGAGCUGCUAGGAUCAAAAAUGUCUUGUAGUUAGAAAGUGUAAAUUAAAUUAACAAAACAAAAUGCAAAUUUACACAACAGUGCUACCAGAUUUACAGGCAUUUUUAUCCAAACUUGGCUUAUGAAGAACUGAGGUGAUGGUCAUGUUCAAACCUUUGUUUAAGGGUUGAAGUCUCUGAACACCAGUAAAGAUCAAUCACAGCCAAUGCAAGUUUUAAGACCCCCGGUCCGGGGAGGCGGGGCUACAGAAGGCUCAAUGGCGCCUCUUAAGGCUGAUUUGCUUCUUGCAUUUAGUGUUAAACGUUACAGCGCUCGUUCUUUAGCUUUAACGCUAGCUAGGUCAGUUAGCAGCACAGCUGUUCGGUGAUACAAAAGAUGAAACUGCUCACAAAAAUGUGAGCGAGUUGUUAUUUUAAAUGACCUAUUUCUGAAAUGUAUGUUUGGGCGCCACGAGUCGAGUGCAGUUUGGUUUUAAAUGAGCGAAUCAGUCAUCUGGACAGCUGAUGUCUUCCGCCCUCACACCGCUGUGCAAGAGGGAAGAAAUAAAUAAAAAGGAGUUGAGGGUGAACUGUAUCUUUAAGCCUUGAAACAUAAAUCCAAAGAUUGUAGGACCCUGUUGGCUAAAAAGAAACAUCUUCCUCAUGCAAGCCGGGUUCAGGGCUUGUUUCAAUGUGUUUGGAUGAAGAGGAGUCUGAACCCUGCAGUGAUCUGAGCGGUCUGUGUGGCGUUCCUGCAUCACUUACUGGAUCGCCCAUCACUCCCAUCACUCCCACUGCUCCAGAAUGUGUGUCCAAUCCAUGAGUGUGUGACUAACACUACGCCGACUACUUUGUGUCACAUCUCGUCUUCAUGUUUGUUGCUGACUUCACGUGUCGUCGCUGCCUUCACCUCCAUCCUCCUCAUCAGUUAACGAAGCACCGUGAUCACAUCCACAAGCGUUCAUGUUCGUGCUCACGCAACUAAUCCUGAGCUCAAAUAACAGAAGACGUGAAGGGUUUAUUGGAAACUCGUACACAUAAAUGGUAUAAAAAUGUUUUUCCUUGGCAGUCAUGCUGACCUUUCUGCUUCCAGCUUGCUACCAGAGGCCUUUUCUCUUAAGAAGAACAUAGUGUCCUCAAGUGGAUUGAUAUUAACUACUUACAUUAUGCCUCGUUUGUCUACAGAAAACCUCUUUUUAUACAGUACUCUAACCCACUAUACACAGUAUUAUAAUACAUGUGAUCGUGUUUAUCUAUGAAUCUAUACUUGUUAUCUUUUGUUCAAAUGCAAUUCGAUGAGCCGUCAGAAUGAGGCCUUUUGAUUGAAACGCGUCGGGCGCCAUGUUGGAUGGUGGAUAUCGGUCGGCCUCUCGCACAGACGCACACUCUCGCUCUACAAACACACCGCUGGUCACAUUCACAGCGGCGUGCUGGAGGGAAACACAACUCGCUAAGUGACGACGCGUGGAGCCGUCUGUCAGCCGGUGGCGCAACGAGACGCCGCCACUCGUCCCUCCGGGUCCCCCGUCAAGGGCCGUCCACAUCUGGUGUCUCUGUUUCUCCCUCCAUCUUUAUUGCUCACGUCUCCCUGAGUUCAUCCUCAAGGACUUCAUCCCUCCACACCCUCUGUCCCGAUUCUUUUUCUCCCCCCUCUGUCUUAAUUAUUCCGUUCACUUUUCAAAUAAAAUGGUAGUAUUGCAUGGUGCAUGGUCCUCAGUUCUCUCCCUCUUCCUCCCCCCUCUCUUUUCCUCCCUCCCUCCCUUUUUCUCUUUCCCCAGUGCAACAUCCGGGACUUAAGAUUCUCCGCUCCGAUUCCAGUAGCUCCAUCUCAUCUCGUAUAGUGACUGUCACUCCUGGCUAUUUCUGCUGCCGAGGUAUCUACAUUUCUCUCUCUGCUGCUCUGUCACGCUGCGUCCAGCUGUCAGUCUCCAUCUUUAACCACUGCUCUGCUCUCCGUGUCCAUAUGGAUGUGUGUGUGUGUGUGUGCGCAGUUUCUAACUGGUCUAAGGUCUGUGUGUGUGUGUGUGUUUAGGCAUUGAUGUCAGUCAUGCUUUCUUCACUCACGAUCACGCAGGGUUUGGCCAACCCCCUGGUCUUUAUUGUAUUAUACUUUUAAUUAGCUUUUCUUUUAAAUGUUAUGACUGCAUGAUGAGGAAUGUCUCAGCAAAUAGAUAUAAACGUAAAACUGUUGUCUAGUCGUGUUUUCAUGUUAAAAUGAACAUCACACGGGGGGCGGUGGGAGUAAGACCUGGGGGGCGUGGCCAGCCCGCGUUCCCAACAGCGCCGGCUUCCAACGUGGCUCCUUUAAAUGCGCCGGCUGGUUGGUGGGAGACGCAAUUACAGGGUGCACCUGGCUUGGAUGGCGUUCAGGGACGUAAUUGCAGGGUGCACCCGUCUAAUUGAGCGGUCUUGCCGUUGGGUUGCCGGGGGACGAGGCCGCGAGCUGCACUGCUGCUACGGCCAACUGCAGCCUUCUUCUCCACCUUCCUCUGCCUAUUUUCACUUAUUAGUUUUUCUUCCAUCCUUCCUCGUGAUUUCCUGUCCUGUCAUAUUUUUGUGUGUUCCAUUUCCCACUGCUGUCUCUGUCUGUCUCUCUGUCUCUGUCUCUGUCUCUCUGUGUCUCUGGCUGGCUUCUCCAGGCUUGUUGUCGUCUGCUGGGGCUGCUGCACUACUUUCUGUACAUGAAUGCUGUCGCGGCUCGUUUUGAAGAGGUUUUGACUCCCGCUUAGCUUAAACCGGGCCUGAGACCUGUCCAGACCCGCUGUGGACACACGGCUGAGAUGCAGCGAGACGCCCAAACGAGUGGAGACCGGAGACCCUGCAGAGGAAGGACAGAAGAGAGGCUGUGCUUUUUGCUCGCACCGACCUCAGAUCUUUCUUCAAAUACACAAUGAAAGUGUCUCCGUCACUCUGUGGAAAUGUCUUUUUUGACAGACCAGGGAGACGCGUGCCAUCGCUUAACGGAUUGGUUCAACAUUUAGGAAAAGCAGCGUGUGCCUGGAGUUCAUUUCCCCUCAUGUGAAACACCCGCACGCUGCUGUAAUCUGUU
ensembl:lncRNA